rnacentral:lncRNA from 1 species
CAGGGGAACCUUGGUGCCGGAAGGUGGAGGCGGGGCUUCCUGUAGUUCACGGGGUCGACCUGUCGCUCAGACCCCCGAACCUACUUUCCCCUAGGCCGGCAGCAGGAUGGCUGAGGAGGAGGUCCAGGGCCGCCUGUGGCUGGAGAGCCCCGCUGGGGGAGCUCCUCCCAUCUUCCUGCCUUCGAACCGGCAGGCUCUGGUCCUGGGCCGGGGUCCCCUCACCCGUGUUACGGACCGGAAGUGCUCCAGAAACCAAGGUGGGGACGGGCUUGAGCGGGAAGGGGUGUGGCCUGCUCUAGAGGCGGGAAUGAGAUCCUAAAGAAUGAUGCACCGAGGGACGCUCGGCUACUAGGCACAAUUGCGUGGUGCGUCCAGCCCAGGGGUCGAUUGGUGCCUUCUGGGGAGCGCAGAAGGAGAGGUUGUACCUGACCUUGGGGAAGAGGGUGUGGUGCCAACCCCGGGAGAAUUGUCAGUGGGCACAGGAGGCUGCUCUCGGGCCAUUUGAAGGUUUAAAACUGGCCACCACCUUUGUGAAGAGAGGUGAUCCUACAGAGAAAAGUAAAAGCCGGGUGGACGUGGACGGUAACAGGGCAAGCCCAGGGCCUGCGUCAAGCCUCACUUAUUAUUAUUUAUAUGAAAGUGUCUGCCCUGUUCAUAGGCAAGGACCAUGCCACGCGCAGUCCUAGGGACUCUCGCAGUGGGAUCCAAUCCCAUUGAGAAAUAAACUGUCUCUUACUCUCUCCGGAAUGGAUGCUGUAGCUCCAUUCUGUGGCCUGAAACUGGCCACCGCUCCCCAGUAUGAGGGGGCCCUUCACACAAGGAUGUGAUCCUGACCCCACCCCCUCAUCCCCUAGUGGAGCUGGUUGCAGACCCUGAGACCCGGACAGUGGCUGUGAAACAGGUACCAGUGCUUCAGCAAGGGGCAGCAGUGUCUGGGGGUAGGGUCUGGAGGGGAAUUGCAAACUGGCAGGGGGUAGACCCAUUAGAAAACUGGCCAGAAGAAGGGGGUGUGCUGGUGAAAAAGAGUUGUCGGCUUUAUUUGGGUAUCCAUCUGUCCCCUUUCAACUGGGCAAGACUGGAAGCCUAUAAGGGUCUGAUUGGUAGGUGGACUAAAUCACCCUGUGGUAUUGGGGGGGGGGAGGUUCUCACAGUGGGUGGAGCUGGUCCCAGCCCCUCCCUCUUUCUCUGCAGCUGGGCGUUAACCCUUCAACUGCUGGAACCCAGCAGUUGAAACCAGGGUUGGAGGGCUCUCUGGGGGUGGGGGACACACUAUAUUUGGUCAAUGGCCUCCACCCACUGACCCUGCGCUGGAAAGAGACCCAUACAUCAGGAUCCCAGCCAGAUACUCCGCCUGGCACCUCUCCAGUAGCUUCAGAUGAAGAGCAGGAGAAGGAUGCUAAGCAGCAGAAAAAGCGCUUAAGGAAGUCAUCCCCUGGCUGGGAGAGCUUGGAGAAGCUGCUAGUGUUCACAGCACCUGGGGUGAAGCCUCGGGGCAAGGUGAGGCUGCUGGAGGUUCUGCCCUAGGCCGGGCAUUCAGUCUGAACUUCAAAUGUGAUCCUAGGCAAGGCUGUCAGCCUCUUAGCCUUGGGGGAAGUGUGGGUUGGUCCCUGCUGCCCCUUGGUAGACACCCAGGAAUCAGCAGGAUGACCAGGAACAGGUCAGCAGGGGCUCUUCAGACUGCACUUAGAUGUGGUCAAGGCCAUGCUGAGUCUACAUCUCACCUCUGAAAUGAUGACUUCCCAAAAAGUAUGUGGCCUUGGUCCCUGACAGGCAGUGGGCACCCCAAAAAAGCUUUGCUCUGGUUUUAUUUCCCCUGUAGUUAUUAAUCUCCAAGGUGUAAAAGCCCAGGGGAGGAGAUCGGGUAAGAAACUAAUUCUCAUUUUGAUACUAGAAAUGCAGAGGUGGGGUGGACACAGGAGUGACAGGACAGUAGGAUUUCAGGUGAUGUGUCUGUGCCUCAUCCCUGUUGGGUCAUAUCUACAGAAAACCAUCUCCCUGCAUCAAAGUGUUAUUGUGACUCAUCCUGUGAGUGAAGAGACAGGUGUCUCAAUGCUGCCCCUCCUCUGUUCUUGGUGACACCAGGUAGCUGCCUUUGAUUUGGAUGGGACCCUCAUCACCACCCGCUCUGGGAAGGUGUUUCCCACUGGCCCCAGUGACUGGAGGUGAGGAGGGGCAAGGGAAGGGAGUGAGUGGAGCUGGUUGACCCCUCCAGGCCCCAGGUCACUUGUCCACUUCCGACCCAUUCUAGGGUCUUGUACCUAGAGAUUCCACGCAAGCUGAAGGAGUUGGAAGCAGAAGGCUACAAGGUCUGUGCCUAUGUGAGCAAGCGCGACAGGGUCUCUGAUGAGGAGGCCCUGGUGACAUUGUCUGCUCCCUAGCUGGUGAUCUUCACCAACCAGAUGGGCAUUGGACGAGGGAAACUGCCAGCAGAGGAGUUCAAGGCCAAGGUGGAGGCUGUGGUAGAGAAGCUGGGGGUUCCCUUUCAGGUAUGACUAGAAUGGAGGCUAGGGCCAGGGUAGGGUAACAAAGACCCUUGGGUGGGAGACAAACCCAGAGAGAGUCCCUGGGAUGUAUGGGACAGAGGCCUCUGCUGGGGUCAAGCCAUGAGCAGUUGUCAUGAGCUGUAUAUCCCAGAGCAUGGGCAGCUCUCUGGGGCUUGGUACCCAGCUCUUUGGGGCUUGGAAGAGCUGAGGAUGGUGUGUGACCCCUGCCCCACUUCAGGUGCUGGUGGCUACACAUGCAGGCCUGUAUCGGAAGCCGGUGACUGGCAUGUGGGACCAUCUGCAGGAGCAGGUGAGCUGUACCUCCUCUUCCCCUUGCUCUAGCCCCUGUUUCUUAGGGCUUGUUCUUUCUCUCCUCCCUUAGUCCUUGUCAUGUGGUUUAGCUGUCAGGUCCUAGGUGCUGGUAUAUGAGGUCAGUACCAUUAAGCUGAAGUCAGAGGUUGCAUCAGGAGCAGAGACAGGAGGGUAAGUUUGAGUCAGCCUGGGCAACUUAGGGAGACCCUGUCUCAAACUAUAAAAUAAGCCGGGCACAGUGUCGCAUGAAUGAAAUCCCAGCGGCUCAGGAGGCUGAGGCUGAGUUCAAAGGCAGCUGAUCAAACUCACUGAUCAGGAGUUCAAAGCUGGCCUCAGCAAAGGUGAAGCACUAAGCAACUCAGUGAGACCCUGUCUCUAAAUAAAAUACAAAAUAGGGCUGGGGAUGUGGCUCAGCUGUAGAGCACCUGCCUAGCAUGUCUGAGUCACUGGGUUCCAUCCCUAGUACCACCAAAAAAAAAAAAAAAUCAGUGGUUGAGAUUGUUAAUUCAUUCAACCAAUGGUUUGUUCUGAGCUGAAAAUCCUGGUAAAUAAUAGUGGCAUGCCUGCUGUAGCAGUACUCGUAGACCGCUGAUGGCAGCCAGCUAUAAAUGCACACAUGAGUAUAAAAUAGGAAGUAGGGUGUGAUUUUCCUACGGUAGACAGGGGGACGUCUCUAAGAAGGUGACAAAUUGAGUAAAAGUCUAAGGGAGGUGAGGGAAGAAGCCACAUGGAUAUCUGCAGAAGUGGUCCUGGCCAGAGUGACAGCUGGUGUGAAGGCCCCGAGCCUUGCGUGUUCACCAGUGCGGAUGCCCACCUGGUGGACCCAGGUGAGUGAGAGGGUGGGGCCUCGCCUUGGGGCCACGGGAGCAGAGUAGGAACGCGUGUGGGGUCUAAGUGGGGAUGGGAGCCUGGAAGCCUAUCCGCUCUGGCCUGAGUCUAGGCAGUGAAGCGUGAGAAGCGCUGCAAUGGUGAGGACUUGAGAGGUUUGAGAUCUGGCCUGAUGCAGGGAACAGACCAAGAGGAGCUGCCCCAGGGAGCCCUUUACUGCAGAGGGACAGUUGUUAGGAGUAGGUUCUAUUUGUCUCUCCAGGCCAACGAGGGCGUGCCCAUCUCUAUGGGGGACAGCAUCUUCGUGGGAGGUAAGGGCUUGGGGCUGCUGCGGGUGGGCCAAGACCCUUCUCUCCAAACCUGCUGGCAGUGAAGGGUAUCCUCGUGCGUUCCAGAUGCAGCAGGCCGCCCAGCCAACUGGGCCCCUGGCCGUAAGAAGAAAGACUUUUCCUGCGCUGACCGAUUGGUGAGCAGGUGACCGAUUGGGGAUCGGUCACCAAUGGUGAGCCCCGCACCCCGCCCUCGAUCUCUGCCUCACCUCUGCCUUUGCCCCAGUUUGCGCUCAACCUUGGCCUGCCCUUCGCCACCCCGGAGGAGUUCUUCCUUAAGCAGCCCACAGCAGCCUUUGUCCUCCCAGCAUUUGACCCGGUGAGGCCCGAGGGGUGGAAGGCAGGGAACAAGCAGGGGAAUGAGGGUCUCAACUUCUUGUUCCACCCCUCCUAGAGGACUGUCUCCUGCUCAGGGCCUCUCUGCCUCCCAGAGUCCAGCUCCCUCCUGAGCUCUGACCCAGAGGUGGUUGUCGCCGUGGGAUUCCCUGGGGGUGAGAUAUCCUGAUCCCCAUCUCUGGGUGCUGUAAGUGUCCUUCUGGGUCCUGGGUAUCCACUGAUAGUGAUUUUGUGCCUCUCAGCUGGGAAGUCCACCUUCCUCAAGAAACAUCUCGUGUCAGCUGGGUACGUCCACGUGAACAGGGUAAGAGGCUGCCGCGCCCCAUCCCACUGGUUCAUUCCCUGGCUGCCCCAACCGGGCCUUCAGGGCUGCCGCCCAGCACCCCUGCCUCCCCCUGCAGUUCUGAUUUGUUGCCCUGCCCCCACCAGGACACCCCUUCAUCUUCUAUUCCCUAUUGGGCAAUUCCUGCUUGUGACCUGCUCUCCUCUGUCCCCAGGAUACAAUAGGCUCCUGGCAGCGCUGUGUGAGCACCUGUGAGGCAGCUCUGAAGCAGAGGAAACGCGUGGUGAUCGACAACACAAAUCCAGACAUCCCAACCAGGGCCAGGUACUUGGCCCCAUGGGAGGUCUCUAGUAGGGCUGGCAAGGGCCUGGUGACAGCGCUUUCCUGGCCUCAACAGGUAUGUCCAGUGUGCCAGGGAUGCAGGUGUUCCCUGCCGUUGUUUCCUCUUCACUGCCACAUUGGAGCAGGCUCGCCACAACAACCGGGUGAGCCCCUGCCCUCCCCCUCCCUCCUGCCCUGCCCUGCCCCUCCCUCCCCGAUGGCCUCACUCUGAACCAUCCCCUAACAGUUCCGGGAGAUGACUGGCUCCUCUCACACACCAGUGUCAGAUGUCGUCAUAUUCGGCUACAGGUACCUCUAGUUAGUAGGCUGUGGGCUGGUAGGGCCUGGCCUCUCCUUACCACCUUCUCUGCCACCAGGAAACAGUUCGAAGCUCCUACGGUGGCGGAAGGCUUCUCUGCAAUCCUGGAGAUCCCAUUCCAGCUGCAGCUAGAGCCGCAACUAGAGCGACUCUACCGGCAGUUCUCUGAGGGCUGAGUUGCCCAGCCCCAUGCUCCCCUCCCUGACCUGGCAAUAAAUGCUAUUUUUCUCCAAGCUUGGCCAGCAUUUUGCUGGGAGGAAGGGUGGUCGUCUUGGAGGUGCGUCACCAGGCCUAGGCCAACCCCACGCCCCCACACACACACGCGCGCGCGCGCACACUUUUCUACAUUUUCAGGUUAACAGAAAAGGAGGGACCUGGACUGGCUCAGGCUGCUCCUCUGCACAUCUCAUGUUCUACACCAAACCACUCCACCCACCUUGGGCUGUGGAAAGGUGUCACUAGGAGGUUGUCAUGAGCAGGUCAAACAAGAGACUGAGAUGAGACAUGGGAAUGUAGGACAUUGAAUGGGCCCCUAUAAGCUAGCCAGAGCUUGGCUCAAGAUGGCCCAUGAGGGCACAGUGAUUGCAAGCUUGCCUAAUCAUGUGUGAGGCCCUGCAUUCAACUCCCAGUACUGCAUGAGGACAAAAUAUCCAGGGCUCAGGUUCUAUUGCAUUGGACUUGAACGCAGGGGAUGUGGGUCUUGGACCUGCCUAUGGAUCCCCCCUCCAGCUACAGGAGGCAAAAACGCCCCUGACCUAUGCUUUCUUACAGGUAAGUCCAGGGGAAAGAAACCAUGAGCACUACCUGCAAGGUCCUGGCACCAGGUACUGGAAACAGAGAACCAACACACGGCUUCAUGCUUCUGACACAAAGGCCCCAGGAGGUGAGGCCACC